rnacentral:rRNA from 1 species
UACGGAGGGGACUAGCGUUGUCCGGAAUUAUUGGGCGUAAAGCGUGCGUAGACGGUUACGUAAGUCGGGUGUGAAAGCCCCGGGCUCAACCUGGGAAUUGCAUUCGAGACUGCGUAGCUAGGGUGCGGAAGAGGGAAGCGGAAUUUCCGGUGUAGCGGUGAAAUGCGUAGAUAUCGGAAGGAACAUCAGUGGCGAAAGCGGCUUCCUGGUCCAGCACCGACGUUCAGGCACGAAAGCGUGGGGAGCAAACAGG